UCCCUCAUGUUUCCAUUAAAUUAAAGAAGUUGUUUGUCGUUGAUGGAUCUAUAAGGUCAAGUCACAGCAAUGCCUAUAUGUAUGGAUUUUUUAAGAACAAGAGGAUUGUCCUUUAUGAUACACUGAUCCAGCAUUGCAAAAAUGAUGAGGAAAUUGUAGCUGUUCUAGCUCAUGAGCUAGGCCAUUGGAAGCUUAAUCACAGUGUAUACUUAUUCAUUUCUAUGCAGGUAUGUAUGCUAUAAUUUUUCUUGCAAAUGCAUGUCAUUUUAGAAACUAGUGACAUUUAUGGCCGGUUGACACUGAGUAAGCUCUUCAGUAUUGCUGUGUGAUUUUUCUACAUUGGUGCAGAUCUGUACGCUGUUACACUUUGGGGGAUAUGCUCUCCUGAGAAAGUCCAGCAGUCUGUCUCAAAGUUUUGGGUUUGAUACCCAACCAGUAAUCAUUGGUCUCAUCAUA